CGGCACGAACUGACGCGAGGUGCCUCCCCCGGGAGGAGAAUCGGGAAGCCGGUGCGACUCCGGCACGGGCCCGCCGCGGUGAUCGGGGAGCUGCCGUCCACGCACGAGACGUGCGGCCACUGGCCUCGAUGCCGGGAAGGCGGACGGCGCAGGCGUUGAUCCGAGAGUCCGAAGACCGGCCUCGCUCCACCCGCCGCC
rnacentral:ncRNA from 1 species